GGGUAGUAUAAUACUUGUAUGCCGAUGGGAAAGGAAAACUUACAUGGAAAAGCAAAUGAUAUGUGGAAAUUGGCAGAGUUUUUUGUUUUGUAACGAAAUGCAAAUGGUUUCAUCUUGUGAACAAGUAUCACUGAAAGACAACUUCGUAUAAUCUUCAGACUGAGGACAGUGGUGAGAUGAAAGACGUGAACUGGUAUCCGAUGUAAAUACACAUGCAUGCUCUGCUGUAAAAUCGUUUUGGUAUGUGAUUUCUUGGUUGGAUCUUGAGUACUUGUCAUGGCUCUUGAUUUAUUUUGGAGUGUUCACCAUCAGAUUAGAAGUCAAAUAGUGAUACCACCAGGCAUAGUUGAAAGGAAAUGUCCAUACACAGUCUUGGAGUACAUAGUGGUAGAGACAUGGCAGUCCAUUACAGAUUUUGACUGAAUUAAAGCUUCUUAAAGCUCCAUGUCUUGUGUAAACUGUCUGACUGAAUGUUUGUAUUCUAAUAAAAACUAAGGUUGAAGACACUUCAAAGAUAUAUGUCAGUGUAAAAAUGUUAAACAAAAUAUCUGUCUUUGUUAGAAAUAAAUAACCUGUCUUUAUUAGAAAUAAUUAACCUGUCAUUUGUAA